UUGGGCGAGCCCCCCUUCAACUUGCUUUUUUCUGUUCUUCUCGCUUUCCUCCUCAAGGUGUUUGCCUCACUGCCCCCACCUUUGGAAAAUACAGUCCAACUCCUCCCUGGUUGGCGAUUAAUUUCCCUCCCCGCUCCUUUAUCUGCCUUGUUUCCCCCUUCCAACAGCUGGUUGCCUUCCUCCUUGUUUUAUUUCAUUUUAUUUUAUAUGAUUUCUCGCUCUUAAAAAAAAAGCUCCUCUAAGACACUGAUCCGCUGAAUUCCCGCCCCCCAAAAAGAUGCUCUAAUUUAUUUAUUUUUUGCGUCCUUUAUAACACAAGCCACAGCCCCCUUCUCCCCCCCUAGUCCCCCUCCCCUCCCUCCUUCUUCACAAAAUGAAAGGAAAGAGGGGGGAAAAAUCCCUCAGAAGAUGAGUAAACAAGCGUAUGCUAAUCUGCUCCCGAGCGCUCCACCUUCCCAAUUGAAUGAGUCCCUGUUAAAACUGCGCGGAUCAUGACUAAUCAAUCAGUUUGGAGAGGCCGAGCUGCCCAGCCUUCCUCCACUUUGCCGCUUGCCUCCUUGCCCGCGCUCCCGCCUCUCCACCCCCUCCUUUUUUUUUUUUUUUAAGAAGACAAUCUUAAAGUAACAAUUUAAUGAAAUUCUGUACACACCCCCUUACGGUCCUCCCAGCUCUCCUCAUUUCUGCUCAAAACACACAUUCCUGUUUUUUUGUUUUGUUUUGCUUGCUUUUUUUUCUCCCUUACUUCACCUCACGCAAACACACACCUCCUUAUAUAUAUUUAUUUUCCUCCUGACGGGAGAAAAAUCUCUCUUCUUUCAGUGUCCCCUUUGAACGUUGAUGAGACUGACUGGAAAGAGGAGGAUCUUGGAUGCACAAUGCCACGGAUGAGGAAUUUGCCUCAGGAAAUCUUUCACUGUCUGCAAAUCCAAGUUGCCUAUAAAAGUCUGCAGGUUUCCAUUCAAUAAAGAGAGAGCUAUGCUGAACCACUUAAAUGAUAUCAUUCAAGAUUCUCCCCUCCUUUCCCUCAAUGAAACUUGGUAUAUGACUACUGAUUCACUUCAAUUGUGACGAUUAGGCACUUGGAAAUUGUCUGUCUUUUGGGGAACUUUUAAGUGUUUGCAUGAAAUAGUUUUUAAAUACUUUAUUUGGAAAGGAGAGAGUGAGAAAGAGAGAGGGGGAGAGAGAGACCCAGAUAUCCCAUCUUCUGGUUUACUUCCUAAAUGCUCAAAACAGCUGAGUCUUAACCCAGGAGCAGGGAUCUCAAUCUGGGUUUCCCACAUGGAUGGGAGUGAACUAACUACUUAAGCUGUCACCUGCUGCUUCCCAGGGCACACAUCAGCAGGAGGCUGGAAUCAGGAGCAGAGUUGGGACUUGAACCCAGGCACUCCGAUAUGGACUCCCAAUCAGUGCCUUUACUUCUGCACCAAAUGGC
rnacentral:lncRNA from 1 species